UACGGAGGAUGCAAGCGUUAUCCGGAAUUAUUGGGCGUAAAGCGUCCGUAGGUGGUUUUUCAAGUCUGCUGUCAAAGCGUGGAGCUUAACUCCAUAACGGCAGUGGAAACUGGGAGACUAGAGUGCGAUAGGGGUAACGGGAAUUCCCAGUGUAGCGGUGAAAUGCGUAGAGAUUGGGAAGAACACCAGCGGCGAAAGCGCGUUACUGGGUCUGCACUGACACUGAGGGACGAAAGCUAGGGGAGCGAAAGGG
rnacentral:rRNA from 1 species